rnacentral:rRNA from 1 species
UACGUAGGGUGCGAGCGUUGUCCGGAAUUAUUGGGCGUAAAGAGCUCGUAGGCGGCGUGUCGCGUCGGAUGUGAAAGCCCGGGGCUUAACUCCGGGUCUGCAUUCGAUACGGGCAUGCUUGAGUGUGGUGAGGGGAGGACUGGAAUUCCUGGUGUAGCGGUGAAAUGCGCAGAUAUCAGGAGGAACACCGGUGGCGAAGGCGGGUCUCUGGGCCGAUACUGGCGCUGAGGAGCGAAGCGUGGGGAUCAAACAGG